rnacentral:ribozyme from 1 species
GAAAGAGAGAGAAGAGAGAAGAUAAAGAAGAUAAUAGUGUAGCUAUUAACUGUAGUUAAAAAUUAGAUUCUGCUACUUCUUUAUUGUUCUUUUCCUACUUGUUUC